AUGGAUGGCGCAGGAGAGAUCACCCCGCAGGUGACGCCGAAGGGGUAUCGCCCCAGAAACUCUCAGGCAAAAGAACUGCACCAUCAUC
rnacentral:ncRNA from 1 species